AGCGCAAUUGCUGGGUUGUAUGGUUAAGUGUAUGUUUAGUUUUUAAAAUAAAUUAUCAAUCUGUUUUUCAGAGUGGUUGUACCUUUUACAUCCCCCCCAGCAAU
rnacentral:pre_miRNA from 1 species